rnacentral:tRNA from 1 species
AAUCCAGUAGUUAAAAAAAAUAAUAUAAAAUUGCAAAUUUUAGGUUGAGUCUUUCUCUUGGAUUU